AUUGCAUUCAAAAUUUGACGAGUGCAUUCACCAUGUUUUUAGACAUCUUAACCACCAAUGACCAAAAGCAUCGAAUUUUGGAAUAGAUGCUGACUGACUUCAAUCAGAGAAGGAUGAACUAGAAGAGUUCCCAUCUCGAGAAAACCUCAAUAUCAUAGUGAUAAAUGCCAGACAACACUGACUGCAUAGUUUUCGAAUUAUUCACAAUUUUUAGAAGAAAGACAGGAGAAACCUUUUAAUAAACUGGAGAAUUUACAGA